rnacentral:rRNA from 1 species
AGAAAUAAUCUGUCUUAAUUAAAGAUAUUGAAUUUAACUUUUAAGUGAAAAGGCUUAGAUGAUCUGAAGGGACGAUAAGACCCUAUAAAACUUUAUAUUUAAGAGUAGAAAUUAAUUUUAUUUAAAGGUUAUUAUUUUAUAAUAUUUGGUUGGGGCGACGGGGAUAGAAGAAAAAGUAACUGUCUUUUUUUUUUUACAAUAAUAUUUGGUUUAAUGAUCCUAAAAUGGAUUAAAGAUUAAGUUACUUUAGGGAUAACAGCGUAAUUUUCUUUAAGAGUUCUUAUCGACAGGAAAGUUUGCGACCUCGAUGUUGAAUUAAAGGUUCUUUAUAGAGUAGAAACUAUAAUAGAAGGUCUGUUCGACCUU